UAGGGAAUAUUGGACAAUGGGUGAGAGCCUGAUCCAGCCAUGCCGCGUGCAGGAAGAAGGCGUUAUGCGUUGUAAACUGCUUUUGCCAGGGGAUAAAAAGACCGUGCGCGGUUAAUUGAAGGUACCUGGUGAAUAAGCCACGGCUAACUACGUGCCAGCAGCCGCGGUAAUACAGAGGGUGCAAGCGUUAAUCGGACUUACUGGGCGUAAAGGGUGCGUAGGCGGAAGGAUAAGUUAGUUGUGAAAGGCCUGGGCUUAACCUAGGAACUGCAAUUAAGGCUGUCCAUCUAGAGUUGAGUAGAGGGGAGCGGAAUUUCCGGUGUAGCGGUGAAAUGCGUAGAUAUCGGAAGGAACAUCAGUUGCGAAGGCGGCUCUCUGGACUCAAACUGACGCUGAGGCGCGAAAGCCAGGGGAGCAAACGGGGAUUAGAUACCCCAGUAGUCCCUGAGCGGGCUGGCAAGGCGCAU
rnacentral:rRNA from 1 species